ensembl:lncRNA
GAACUGUUUCAGUCAAGAGGAUAUGCACAACUUAUUACUGCUGCAACUACCGAAAAACACACAUUGAUUGAUCACCUUUACAUAUCACAGCCAUACGCCUGCCUCCAAUCAGGUGUUCUGAAUACAUAUCACAGUUAUCACAACCCCAUUUAUUGUGUAAUUCACUAACACAAAAUGACUGCAAGGUUGUGAGGGAUAUGGACUUGCCAAGUGAUCUUAGUGUCUUUGCAACUGAGCACACUCUACCACCAACAAGGACAGCUCACCAGUGGGAGCUGAUAGAUAAGACUGCUCUCAUCCAUUGAAGAGCUGACCAGAAACGUGAACAGAGAGACUGCAACUGCACCUGAUGGGAUCCCUGCCAUAACAGAUGUGUUCUGUCCAGUGAAGGCAGUGGAGAAGCCCUACACUGAUCUUGAAACUGUGCCACGCUAGUAGAGACCGGCUACAAGGAUGGGCAGCUGUUUUCGCAAAGUCAGCCAACCACUUGCUUCCAAAUGACCCUUAUCCAGAAGUAUCCGUGAGUGCCUCAUCAACAGAAACUAAAGUGGAGACCUACCUCUCAGAGAAAAACGCACACAUAAGAAAAGCUGACCCACUUCAGUACUGGGAAGAACAUCCUAAUCUGUUUCUCUCUAUGGCUGCUGUUGCGAUCCCAGUGUGCCCCUGUAGCUCUGUGGACAGUUUUGGAUUUGUUUACAUCUCACCCAACCGCUCACGGCAGAUGGCUGCACCUCUCUAAGCCU